rnacentral:lncRNA from 1 species
UUCAGGUGAUUACAAGAGUCUAAUGGUGGAGGGUUAAAUGAAACACAGCAGAGAUAACAUCAGAACAUGCGGAGGAGACCUCCUGCUGUGCAAGGGGAAUGGCUGGUAAACUGCUUUUAGUGAUCUCUGGUGCCCAGCAGUGAAUUGACACAGCUAACUCACACCUUCUCGUGUUUAUUUUCAAGGAAAAGCAUCAUAUUUCUCUUAUGUCUUAUCAAAAUAGAAUUCCCAAGGACGAAUGGUUAGUCAUCUGGAGUAGGGCCAGGAAAAAAAGCUAACUUUUGUAGGCAGGACUUCAGGGUUUAUCCAGAUAGACCUGUAUGAAAAGCACACAGGGCUGAUUUCACUUAUUGAUGAACAGGGAUGGCUGCUGCUGCCCACGUGGCAGCACAAAUGUUUUUCCACACACUCAGGCCAAUGGAGGAGUGUUUUUGUAGGGGGUGAGGCUGCGGAACAGGAUCUAACCUCAGUUAGAGUCUGGAAGCUCAGCGUCCAUGCCACUAUCUGCAGGAUGUGUAGAUUUUAUUCAGCUUUGCUGGACGCCCUGAGGUACAGACCUUUGGAGGCUGGAAUAAUAUCCUGAGGAAGGAUUGCUCUGGGCUUCCCGUGUUCUACAGAUAUCCACAUAUCUGCAGAAUGAGACCCUGGGCCAGAUGACCUUUGGAUCAAGAGCUGUGCUGGCUGGUGUUAAGUUGCAAUAUUUUACUAUAAAGCCUUAUAAUUCAGCAUUGCCUUUACUAAGUUUGUAAAGGCAAUAGACUGAGACCUACCAGGAGUGCUUUGCCUGGACUUAUCUUGAUAUGCCUGCGACUUGUUUCACUUGAUUCAUCAGUAGCAGCAUUUUUUCUAAUUGAGCGAUUGUCUAUGGCUAAUUUGUUUUACUUUUGUUUACAUUUAUAUGAUUUUAUCACUUUGACAUACUGAUGUAGCAUAGAGUAAAACAGGUUUGCUAUGACAAAAAAGGUCUUGAAAAAUGGAGACAGAGGCUGUUGUGUAGAGGACCACAGGCAUGCGAUGAUAAGAGAUGUACAGGGCUGACAACAGACAGCAGUUGAAAUGAAGACCUGGACCUGGACAGAACUGGUUGUUUCAAGAGUAAUUACAAGAGCAAAGAUUACUGUAUGUAAAAGGCACCAUUUAUAGUAAAUUAAGUAGUAAUCUAGAGCUGCAGACCAAUAAAGAAAAAGCAGGGUGUAAAAGCA